rnacentral:rRNA from 1 species
AGCAGCCGCGGUAAUUCCAGCUCCAAUAGCGUAUAUUAAAGUUGUUGCAGUUAAAAAGCUCGUAGUUGAAUUUCGGGGUUAGUAGGUUGGUCAUGCCUCUGGUAUGUACUGGGCUCACUGAUUCCUCCUUCCUGAUGAACUGUAAUGCCAUUAAUUUGGUGUUGCAGGGAAACUGGACUGUUACUUUGAAAAAAAUUAGAGUGUUUAAAGCAAGCUAACGCUUGAAUACAUUAGCAUGGAAUAAUGAAAUAGGACGUUCGAUCCUAUUUCGUUGGUUUCUAGGAUUGACGUAAUGAUUAAUAGGGAUAGUUGGGGGCAUUAGUAUUCAAUUGUCAGAGGUGAAAUUCUUGGAUUUAUUGAAGACUAACUACUGCGAAAGCAUUUGCCAAGGAUGUUUUCAUUAAUCAAGAACGAAAGUUAGGGGAUCGAAGACGAUCAGAUACCGUCGUAGUCUUAACCAUAAACUAUGCCGACUAGGGAUCGGAUGAUGUUAAUUUUUAAUGA